GCAAGUCGAACGGCAGCGCGGGGCAACCUGGCGGCGAGUGGCGAACGGGUGAGUAAUAUAUCGGAACGUACCCUGGAGUGGGGGAUAACGUAGCGAAAGUUACGCUAAUACCGCAUACGAUCUAAGGAUGAAAGUGGGGGAUCGCAAGACCUCAUGCUCCUGGAGCGGCCGAUAUCUGAUUAGCUAGUUGGUAGGGUAAAAGCCUACCAAGGCAUCGAUCAGUAGCUGGUCUGAGAGGACGACCAGCCACACUGGAACUGAGACACGGUCCAGACUCCUACGGGAGGCAGCAGUGGGGAAUUUUGGACAAUGGGCGCAAGCCUGAUCCAGCAAUGCCGCGUGAGUGAAGAAGGCCUUCGGGUUGUAAAGCUCUUUUGUCAGGGAAGAAACGGUGGGGGCUAAUAUCCUCUGCUAAUGACGGUACCUGAAGAAUAAGCACCGGCUAACUACGUGCCAGCAGCCGCGGUAAUACGUAGGGUGCAAGCGUUAAUCGGAAUUACUGGGCGUAAAGCGUGCGCAGGCGGUUUUGUAAGACUGUCGUGAAAUCCCCGGGCUCAACCUGGGAAUGGCGAUGGUGACUGCAAGGCUAGAGUUUGGCAGA
rnacentral:rRNA from 1 species